AAACUCCCAGCAGCUUCUGAGAUGAUUUCAGUUCAUUUAAAUGCAAUAAGCACUAACAGCAAAAUGCCCUUCUGGCUGGCCCAUUUUCAGGCUAACCAGUCCAAAUGAGGAAAUGCCUCUGGCACCAACCAAGAAGCCUCCAGCUGCACUUCCUAAGAGAUGAAAAAUCAACUACAAUCAUCCACCCGAUCUACACCCCUCCCUACUUCUUUGGUGGAUAAAAGAUACCAAGACUUGGAAUAUUACUAACAAAAACUUGUAUCUGUGAUAAAAAUGCAGUGGGACUCAAUUUAAUUCACAUGAUCCAAUUAUUAUAUAUUACACCAGCACCUGGAAAGAGUCCAGCAAGUAUUGAUCUAAUGCUAAGCACUGUGCAAAUGUACUGGGAGUGUGCCCUUGCACCAAAGAGUUUGCAGCAUAAAAAGAAGCACAGAGAGGUGAAGUGACUUGCUGAUGGUUUUAGCAUCAGCAGGUAAGCAGCAGAGGUGGGACCAGAGACAGGCAGAGAAAACUCCUGGAUCACUUUCCAGUGCCUUACCCGUUGGUCAUGCCCUAAAGCAACAUCACCACAGUUUUGGAACUGCAUCAACUGCUUAUAGAAAGGACCUCAGCUACUCUGGCAAUGAAUGUGCUGCCAUUCUCUGUGCAGCUCAGGGCAAUUUUUAUUUAGUGAAAAUAGAUCCAAAAUUUCUAACAGGCUCAAAAAUCUACAGUGAAAGCAAAUUCUUUUGAGCCUCACAGUGCUAAGUUUUAAGAUCCAUCCUCACAGCCUGAGAUCAGAAGUGCCACAAUCUUCCCCAAAAAUGUUCAGUAGAAGGUCAGCACACAUGUAAGGGCAGGACGCACAGCAUUUGCCCAUCAAGCUGCUAGUGACAUGAUGGUGGGACAAAAGGUGACAUCAAAUCAGUUCUGAAGGACCUUACCCCUACUGAUUCCCUGUCCUGAUUCUUUCCCCUUCCAGGUCGUGAUAUGGCAAGCACUACCUUGCCUGGCUACCCACCCCAUGUUCCCCCAACUGGACAAGGCAGCUACCCAACCUCAACUCUGGCAGGAAUGGUUCCUGGGAGCGAGUUCUCAGGGAACCCCUACAGCCACCCGCAGUACACAACCUACAAUGAGGCCUGGCGAUUCAGCAACCCUGCAUUACUAAGUUCCCCUUAUUAUUAUAGUGCCACAUCCCGGGGCUCCGCACCUCCCACUGCUGCCGCUGCCUAUGACCGCCACUAGUUACCAUGGAAACCACAUGAAACUGCAGGGCGACAGCUUAGGCCUCCAUAUUGUACCUGUCUGACCCACCCCUCCGCCCCUGGGAAGGCGAAGAGGACCUCUCCAUGCCUCCCGCAGCCCGCGCCCUCCCUCUCCGCCGCUGCGCCAAGCGCCCCGACACCUGAUUGAGAACCCCGUCCUCCCCUGCGUCCCCCUGCGCCCCGCCAUGCCGGCUGGAGCCACAGGCCCUGCCGCCUCCCACAGGAGCCCCUGGCGAGGCCAGGCCACGCGCGGUCUUCUCCGGCACUCCCAAGACUCCAGGGGAACCGGGCAAUGAUGCAGCUGGCAACCAUCGCCUCACGGGACCCCCACCUCCCGGGAGCGGUAAGGGCAGGGGGAAGCAGGGGACACAGCUGCUGACGAAACACUGUUCCCCAAAGAUACGCUCUUCUGUGGUGGACUCUUCGAAACGCAUAACCUGUGAUGACCGCCCCGCUUCCCAGGACGGAGGGAACGGCCUGGCUAGAGCAGAGAUGGCAGUGCAGAGACCUGGCCCAUCUGGCAACCAAGGAAAGGACCAAGUAACUAUCUGCCCCCCCGCGAGGGGUUCUCUGUGCACUUCAUCCCCACUCUUCAGCAUGGCUUCACCGCCGCCGGCCGCAGCCCACGCGGUGACUUUGCAGGCCAGGCCGGGGGCGAGCCUCCCACAUACGCCCACAAUUUCUGUGACACACAAUCAGCUCAGACAGGAGGAUGGAGCAACAUUUACAAACCAACCGACGAAAUGAAGAAAUAUAUAAAUAGAUAUAUAAAUAUAACUGUGUUUUUAUGCUUUGUCAUGAAGGUCUGUAAAAAGGAAAAAAAAAAAAGAACAAAUCCCCAAUUUUCUAAAAAACCCAAGCAAGCAAAACCAAGAAAAAAAAAAAAAAAAAAAAAAAAAAAAAAAAACAAAAA